rnacentral:rRNA from 1 species
AUGAAGGUUUUCGGAUCGUAAAACUCUGUUGUCAGGGAAGAACAAGUGCGAGAGUAACUGCUCGCACCUUGACGGUACCUGACCAGAAAGCCACGGCUAACUACGUGCCAGCAGCCGCGGUAAUACGUAGGUGGCAAGCGUUGUCCGGAAUUAUUGGGCGUAAAGCGCGCGCAGGCGGUUUCUUAAGUCUGAUGUGAAAGCCCCCGGCUCAACCGGGGAGGGUCAUUGGAAACUGGGAAACUUGAGUGCAGAAGAGGAGAGUGGAAUUCCACGUGUAGCGGUGAAAUGCGUAGAGAUGUGGAGGAACACCAGUGGCGAAGGCGACUCUCUGGUCUGUAACUGACGCUGAGGCGCGAAAGCGUGGGGAGCGAACAGGAUUAGAUACCCUGGUAGUCCACGCCGUAAACGAUGAGUGCUAAGUGUUAGAGGGUUUCCGCCCUUUAGUGCUGCAGCUAACGCAUUAAGCACUCCGCCUGGGGAGUACGGUCGCAAGACUGAAACUCAAAGGAAUUGACGGGGGCCCGCACAAGCGGUGGAGCAUGUGGUUUAAUUCGAAGCAACGCGAAGAACCUUACCAGGUCUUGACAUCCUUUGCCACUUCUAGAGAUAGAAGGUUCCCCUUCGGGGGACAAAGUGACAGGUGGUGCAUGGUUGUCGUCAGCUCGUGUCGUGAGAUGUUGGGUUAAGUCCCGCAACGAGCGCAACCCUUGAUCUUAGUUGCCAGCAUUCAGUUGGGCACUCUAAGGUGACUGCCGGUGACAAACCGGAGGAAGGUGGGGAUGACGUCAAAUCAUCAUGCCCCUUAUGACCUGGGCUACACACGUGCUACAAUGGAUGGUACAAAGGGCUGCGAGACCGCGAGGUUUAGCCAAUCCCAUAAAACCAUUCUCAGUUCGGAUUGCAGGCUGCAACUCGCCUGCAUGAAGCUGGAAUAGAUAGUAAUCGCGGAUCAGCAUGCCGCGGUGAAUACGUUCCCGGGCCUUGUACACACCGCCCGUCACACCACGAGAGUUU